rnacentral:SRP_RNA from 2 species
GCCGGGCAUGUUGGCAUGUGCCUGUAGUCCCAGCUACUCAGGAGGCUGAGGCAGGAGAAUCGUUUGAACCCAGGAGGCAGAGGUUGCAGUGAGCCGAGAUUGAGCCACUGUACUCCAGCCUGGGUGACAGAGCGAGACUCUGUCUCAA